GACGAACGCUGGCGGCGUGCUUAACACAUGCAAGUCGAACGGAAAGGCCCUGCUUUUGUGGGGUGCUCGAGUGGCGAACGGGUGAGUAACACGUGAGUAACCUGCCCUUUACUUUGGGAUAACUUCAGGAAACUGGGGCUAAUACCGGAUAGGAGCUCCUGCUGCAUGGUGGGGGUUGGAAAGUUUCGGCGGUUGGGGAUGGACUCGCGGCUUAUCAGCUUGUUGGUGGGGUAGUGGCUUACCAAGGCUUUGACGGGUAGCCGGCCUGAGAGGGUGACCGGCCACAUGGGGACUGAGAUACGGACCAGACUCCUACGGGAGGCAGCAGUGGGGAAUAUGGCACAAUGGGCGGAAGCCUGAUGCAGCAACGCCGCGUGCGGGAUGAGGGCCUUCGGGUUGUAAACCGCUUUCGCCUGUGACGAAGCGUGAGUGACGGUAAUGGGUAAAGAAGCACCGGCUAACUACGUG
rnacentral:rRNA from 1 species